UAUUGGACAAUGGGGGGAACCCUGAUCCAGCGACGCCGCGUGAGCGAAGAAGUAUUUCGGUAUGUAAAGCUCUAUCAGCAGGGAAGAAAGAAAUGACGGUACCUGACCAAGAAGCCCCGGCUAACUACGUGCCAUCAGCCGAGGUAAUACGUAGGGGGCAAGCGUUAUCCGGAAUUCAUGGGUGUAAAGGGAGCGUAGACGGUAAUGUAAGUCUGGAGUGAAAGGCGGGGGCCCAACCCCCGGACUGCUCUGGAAACUAUGUUACUGGAGUGCAGGAGAGGUAAGCGGAAUUCCUAGUGUAGCGGUGAAAUGCGUAGAUAUUAGGAGGAACACCAGUGGCGAAGGCGGCUUACUGGACUGUAACUGACGUUGAGGCUCGAAAGCGUGGGGAGCAAACAG
rnacentral:rRNA from 1 species